rnacentral:rRNA from 1 species
CAGUCGCCGCGGGAAUACCAGCACCUCGAGUGGUCAGGAGGUUUAUUGGGCCUAAAGCAUCCGUAGCCGGUUGCAUAAGUUUUCGGUUAAAUCUAUGCGCUUAACGUAUAGGCCGCCGAAAAUACUGUGCAGCUAGGGAGUGGGAGAGGUACACGGUACUCGAUAGGAAGGGGUAAAAUCCUUUGAUCUAUUGAUGACCACCUGUGGCGAAGGCGGUGUACCAGAACACGUUCGACGGUGAGGGAUGAAAGCCGGGGGAGCAAACCGGAUUAGAUACCCGCGUAGUCCCUGUCUCUUAUAA